AUUUAAGUAGUUUAAAAAAAACUCUACAUUUUCAUUGUAAAAAUAAUAUAUUAUUCUUAAAUA
rnacentral:tRNA from 1 species